GUUGUAUGGUUAAGUGACUAAGCGUACACGGUGGAUGCCUUGGCAGUCAGAGGCGAUGAARGACGUAGUAACUUGCGAUAAGCCCAGAUUAGGUAGUAACAACCAUUUGAGUCUGGGAUUUCYGAAUGGGGAAACCCACUUACAUAAGYAMGUAUCMUUAMCUGAAUACAUAGGGUAAKGAGGCGAACCGGGGGAACUGAAACAUCUAAGUACCCCGAGGAAAAGAAAUCAACCGAGAUUCCGAAAGUAGCGGCGAGCGAAAUUGGACUAGCCCUUAAGCUUUACACGCGUUAGACGAACGGUCUGGAAAGUCCGACGAUACAGGGUG
rnacentral:rRNA from 1 species